GGCAGUAUAGCUCAGUGGUAGAGUGUGUGCUUAGCAUGCAUGAGGUCCUGGGUUCGAUACCCAGUACCUCCA
rnacentral:tRNA from 1 species